rnacentral:rRNA from 1 species
CGCGUAGGCGGCAAUUCAAGUCAUCUGUGAAAUCUCCGGGCUUAACUCGGAACGGUCAGAUGAUACUGCUUUGCUAGAGUGCGGAAGGGGCAAUCGGAAUUCUUGGUGUAGCGGUGAAAUGCGUAGAUAUCAAGAGGAACACCUGAGGUGAAGACGGGUUGCUGGGCCGACACUGACGCUGAGUGCGCGAAAGCCAGGGAGCAAACG